AUGGUAGGAUAGAGGCCUACCAUGGUGGUAACGGGUAACGGGGUGUUAGGGCACGACACCGGAGAGGGAGCCUGAGAAACGGCUACCACAUCCAAGGAUGGCAGCAGGCGCGCAAAUUACCCAAUCCCGACACGGGGAGGUAGUGACAAUAAAUAACAAUACGGGGUUCUUUAGGAUCUCGUAAUUGGAAUGAGUACAAUUUAAAUCUCUUAACGAGGAACAAUUGGAGGGCAAGUCUGGUGCCAGCAGCCGCGGUAAUUCCAGCUCCAAUAGCGUAUAUUAAAGUUGUUGCAGUUAAAAAGCUCGUAGUUGAAUUUCGGGGUCAGUAGGUCGGUCGUGCCACUGGUAUGAACUGGUUUUACUGAUUCCUCCCUCUUGAAGAACUGUAAUGCCAUUAAUUUGGUGUUGCAGGGAAUCAGGACUGUUACUUUGAAAAAAUUAGGGUGUUUAAAGCAGGCUUUAGCUUGAAUACAUUAGCAUGGAAUAAUGAAAUAGGACGUUUGAUCCUAUUUUGUUGGUUUCUAGGAUUGACGUAAUGAUUAAUAGGGAUAGUUGGGGGCAUUAGUAUUCAACUGUCAGAGGUGAAAUUCUUGGAUUUAUUGAAGACUAACUACUGCGAAAGCAUUUGCCAAGGAUGUUUUCAUUAAUCAAGAACGAAAGUUAGGGGAUCGAAGACGAUCAGAUACCGUCGUAGUCUUAACCAUAAACUAUGCCGACUAGGGAUCGGAUGAUGUUAAUUUUUUAAUGACUCAUUCGGCGCCUUACGGGAAACCAAAGUGUUUGGG
rnacentral:rRNA from 1 species